GUGCUUGCUUUGGCAGCACAUGUACUAAAAUUGGAACAGUGCAGGGAAGAUUAGCGUGGCCCCAGCGCAAGGGUGACACGCACAUUCGUGAAGUGUUCCAUAUUAAA